UAUAUGCGCCAUGGAAGGUUGUCUAUUAUGAAGCCUAUUCAUCACGUAAGCUGGCAUUAGCUCGUGAGAGGCAGUUGAAAGCUUAUGGACAAGCCAGGACUGCUCUGAAGAAGAGACUAAAUUUGAUCUGAUACUCGAUUUCAAAGGUGCUGGGUGACGGCGUGCUUUUUGUAGAACGAUCCAGCGAGUUAAUUUUUACGGCGAGGUUAAGUCAGAUGAUGAAGCCACAGUGAAAGCGAGCAUUAACAGUGCGAUUUAGUCGUAAGGAUUAGACCCGAAACCAGGUGACCUAACCAUGAGCAGGUUGAAGCAACCUUAAUCGGUUGUGGAGGACCGAACCAGUGUAUAUUGCAAAAUGCUUGGAUGACUUGUGGUUAGCGGUGAAAUGCCAAUCGAACUUGGAGAUAGCUGGUUCUCCGCGAAAUAGUUAUAGGACUAGCGUCGUGUGAUAGCUUACGGGGGUAGAGCUCUGUCAAGAGAUAGGGGGAGCAAUCCUACCUACUCUUAAUAAACUACGAAUACCGUAUGUCUGUAUCACGGCAGUUAGAACGUCGGUGCUAAGAUCGGCGCUCAAAAGGGAAACAGCCCAGACCAUCAUCUAAGGUCCCCAAAUUUACGCUAAGUGGGAAACAAGGUGGAAUUUCUUAAACAGCUAGGAUGUUGGCUUAGAAGCAGCCAUUCAUUUAAAGAGUGCGUAACAGCUCACUAGUCAAGAGAUUCUGCGUGGAAGAUAUAACGGGGCUAAGCGUAAUACCGAAGAUAUGGAUUGCAAUUUAUUGCAGUGGUAGCGGAGCGUUCCUAUCAGCAGUGAAGCCGGACUGUUAAGUACUGGUGGAGCGUUAGGAAGUGAGAAUGCUGGAACGAGUAACCAUAAGACAGGUGAGAAUCCUGUCGGCCGAAAGAGCGAGGUUUCCUGGGCUAUGGUAAUCAUCCCAGGGUUAGUCGGGCCUAAGCCGAGGCGUUUAGCGUAGGCGAUGGACAUCAGGUUAAUAUUCCUGAACUAGUCAAACUUUGUAUGCAGUUAGCGAUGAGAUAGGUGGAGCGGAUUCAUGGUUUAUCCGUUCAAGUGAUAGAGGAAUCUUGAUCGAGUAAAAGUGAACCUACGGGUUUACGAUUCCGCCGAAGGCAUUGACCAGAAAAGCUGGCAUACGCAUGGGUUUGGCUACCCGUACCGCAAACCGACACAGGUGCUCGAGUCGAGGAGACUAAGGCUUACGAGAGAAUGAUUGCUAAGGAACUCGGCAAUACAGCGACCGUAACUUCGGAAUAAGGUCUGCCUACAUUUGUAGGCCGCAGCUAAAGAGCCCACGGAACUGUUUAUCAAAAACUCAGGUCUCUGCUAACACGAAAGUGGAUGUAUAGGGGCUGAAACCUGCCCGGUGCCGGAAGGUUAAGGGGAUUGCUUCACGGUGAGAACUGAAGCCCCGGUGAACGGCGGCGGUAACUAUAACCGUCCUAAGGUAGCGAAAUUCCUUGUCAGGUAAGUUCUGACCCGCACGAAUGGUUAAAUCAUGUGGGCACUGUCUCAGCAAUUAUCUCGGUGAAAAUGCAUUGGCGGUAAAGAUGCCGUCUGUCCGCACCAGGACGAAAAGACCCCGUGGAGCUUCACUACAGCUUUACAUUGUUGUGGGUUCUAACUUGUGUAGUAUAGGUGGGAGACUUUGAAGCAGAUACGCUAGUAUCUGUGGAGUCAUCAGUGAAAUACCACCCCCGUUAGGAUCUGCAUCUAACCUGUGCCGUUAUCCGGUAUAGGGACCGUGUAUGGUUGGUAGUUUAACUGGGGCGGUUGCCUCCUAAAGAGUAGCGGAGGCGUUCAAAGGUUGGCUAGCUACGGAUGGAAAUCGUAGUGGUAGUGUAUACGCAUAAGCCAGCUUGACUGUGAGGAGUACAUUCCGAUCAGAUGCGAAAGCAGGAGUAAGUGAUCCGCUGGACGAACCAUUGGUUCAUGAAUGUGGGAUUGCCAGCGCAAACGGACAAAAGUUACCCCGGGGAUAACAGGCUGAUAGCGCCCAAUAGUUCACAUAGACGGCGCUGUUUGGCACCUCGAUGUCGGCUCAUCACAUCCUGGAGGGGGAGCACCUUCCAAGGGUUCGGCUGUUCGCCGAUUAAAGUGGUACGCGAGCUGGGUUCAGAACGUCGUGAGACAGUUCGGUUUAUAUCCGGUAUGGACGUUAGGAAAUUUGAGAGGAUCUGCCCCUAGUACGAGAGGACCGGGGUGGACGUACCUCUGGUGUACGGAUUGUAGCCACCUGCUGCAUUGUCCGGUAGCUAUGUACGGAUCAGAUAAGCGCUGAAAGCAU
rnacentral:rRNA from 1 species